GGCGGACGGGUGAGUAAUAUAUAGGUAAACGUGCCUUCAAGAAGGGGAUAACAGUUGGAAACGGCUGCUAAUACCCUAUAUGCCUUUAGAACAUAAGUUCGCAAGGGAAAUAUUUAUAGCUUGAAGAUCGGCCUGUACGGUAUCAGUUAGUUGGUGAGGUAAUGGCUCACCAAGACAAUGACACCUAACUGGUUUGAGAGGAUGAUCAGUCACACUGGAACUGAGACACGGUCCAGACUCCCACGGGAGGCAGCAGUGGGGAAUAUUGCACAAUGGACGAAAGUCUGAUGCAGCAACGCCGCGCGGAGGAUGACACAUUUCGGUGCGUAAACUCCUUUUAUAUAGGAAGAUAAUGACGGUACUAUAUGAAUAAGCACCGGCUAACUCCGUGCCAGCAGCCGCGGUAAUACGGAGGGUGCAAGCGUUACUCGGAAUUACUGGGCGUAAAGAGCGUGUAGGCGGAUAGAUAAGUUGGAAGUGAAAUCCUAUGGCUCAACCAUAGAACUGCUUCCAAAACUGUCUAUCUAGAAUAUGGGAGAGGUAGAUGGAAUUUCUGGUGUAGGGGUAAAAUCCGUAGAGAUCAGAAGGAAUACCGAUUGCGAAGGCGAUCUACUGGAACAUUAUUGACGCUGAGACGCGAAAGCGUGGGGAGCAAACAGGAUUAGAUACCCUGGUAGUCCACGCCCUAAACGAUGUUCACUAGUUGUUGUGAGGCUAGACCUUGCAGUAAUGCAGUUAACACAUU
rnacentral:rRNA from 1 species